rnacentral:rRNA from 1 species
GGUGCAUGGUUGUCGUCAGCUCGUGUCGUGAGAUGUGGUUAAGUCCCGCAACGAGCGCAACCCUCGCCUCUAGUUGCCAGCAUUCGGUUGGGCACUCUAGAGGGACUGCCGGCGACAAGUCGGAGGAAGGUGGGGAUGACGUCAAAUCAUCAUGCCCCUUAUGACCUGGGCUACACACGUGCUACAAUGGGCGGUACAAAGGGCUGCGAACCCGCGAGGGGGAGCGAAUCCCAAAAAGCCGCUCUCAGUUCGGAUUGCAGGCUGCAACUCGCCUGCAUGAAGCCGGAAUCGCUAGUAAUCGCGGAUCAGCAUGCCGCGGUGAAUACGUUCCCGGGCCUU